rnacentral:rRNA from 1 species
CCUACGGGGGGCUGCAGUGGGGAAUUUUGCGCAAUGGGGGAAACCCUGACGCAGCAACGCCGCGUGAGUGAUGAAGGCCUUCGGGUCGUAAAGCUCUGUCAGAGGGGAAGAAGUGUGGGGUGGCUAAUAUCCAUUUCACUUGACGGUACCUUCAAAGGAAGCACCGGCUAACUCCGUGCCAGCAGCCGCGGUAAUACGGAGGGUGCGAGCGUUGUUCGGAAUUAUUGGGCGUAAAGCGCGUGUAGGCGGUUUUUUAAGUCUGAUGUGAAAGCCCUGGGCUCAACCCGGGAAGUGCAUUGGAAACUGGGAGACUUGAAUACGGGAGAGGGCAGUGGAAUUCCUGGUGUAGGAGUGAAAUCCGUAGAUAUCAGGAGGAACACCGGUGGCGAAGGCGGCUGCCUGGACCGAUAUUGACGCUGAGACGCGAAAGCGUGGGGAGCAAACAGGAUUAGAUACCCUAGUAGUC